rnacentral:rRNA from 1 species
AUUGAACGCUGGCGGAAUGCUUUACACAUGCAAGUCGAACGGUAGAGGGGGCAACCCCUCGAGAGUGGCGAACGGGUGAGUAAUAUAUCGGAACGUGCCCAGUCGUGGGGGAUAACGUAGUGAAAAUUACGCUAAUACCGCAUACGAUCUAAGGAUGAAAGCGGGGGAUCGCAAGACCUCGCGCGAUUGGAGCGGCCGAUAUCAGAUUAGGUAGUUGGUAGGGUAAAGGCCUACCAAGCCAACGAUCUGUAGCUGGUCUGAGAGGACGACCAGCCACACUGGAACUGAGACACGGUCCAGACUCCUACGGGAGGCAGCAGUGGGGAAUUUUGGACAAUGGGCGCAAGCCUGAUCCAGCAAUGCCGCGUGCAGGAAGAAGGCCUUCGGGUUGUAAACUGCUUUUGUACGGAACGAAAACCGGUACUUUUCCUUAAUAACCUGGGCUCAUGACGGUACCGUAACGAAUAAGACACCGGCGUAACUACG